AGACCGGUGGUCCCACCUGACCCCAUGCCGAACUCAGAAGUGAAACGCCGUAGCGCCGAUGGUAGUGUGGGGCCUCCCCAUGCGAGAGUAGGG
rnacentral:rRNA from 1 species